AUACGUAGGGGGCGAGCGUUGUCCGGAAUGACUGGGCGUAAAGGGCGUGUAGGCGGCUGAUUAAGUCUGGAGUGAAAGUCCCGCUUUCAAGGGGGGAGUGGCUUUGGAAACUGGGUGGCUUGAGUGCGGAAGAGGUAAGUGGAAUUCCCAGUGUAGCGGUGAAAUGCGUAGAGAUUUGGAGGAACACCAGUGGCGAAGGCGACUUUCUGGGCCGUAACUGACGCUGAGGCGCGAAAGCGUGGGGAGCGAACAGGAUUAGAUACCCUGGUAGUCCACGCUGUAAACGAUGAAUGCUAGGUGUAAGGGGUAUCGAGCCCUCCUGUGCCGGAGUAAACGCAAUAAGCAUUCCGCCUGGGGAGUACGGCCGCAAGGUUGAAACUCAAAGGAAUUGACGGGG
rnacentral:rRNA from 1 species